rnacentral:lncRNA from 1 species
CCGCCCCUAAGCCAUUAAUCCUCUCCAACUCUCUGUAGCCCUCUCCGAAACCCUAACCUUUCCCCGCCGAUUUCCACCUUGUUUCACCGGAAUCAAUGGCACCCCAAGCCGCGAGCAACCUAUACUCACCUCCAACUGUCAUUAUACCCCUGUUACAUGAAGAUUUAAGGUCUGACCUUGAAGGCUCAUGCUCAUACAUCCGCCGAUUCGACUUCUGCGGCCAUCUCCGCUGUGGCUCCGGCUUAUCUUAGCCCUAUGAGUCCAUCUCUGACUCAGUCGAGUCGAAGCAAUCCCUUUUCCAGGCCUUUCUCACUUCUAGGGCUCUUCUGAAACCACAGUCUUUCGAGGUUUUCCAAUUUCUCUAGAUCUGCUCUAGAUCCAUGUCUAUUUUAGGGGUUUCAAAUGAUUUCUUGAGUCUCUUUCAAAGCCUUGCUUUCAAAAACUGUUCAUCUUCUCCGAUUUAGGUUUUGUUUGAUUUUUCUUGUUCUACUGUGAUUCCUAUGUUUUACUCUUACCGUAUUUGUUCUACUGUAACUCCUAUGUGUUUCUACUGUGCUUCCUAUGUGUUUUUUUCUACUAUGUUUCCUCCUAUAUUUCUUUUACUGUGUUUUCUCUCAUUAUGAUUUCAUGAAAUGCUUAAGUUCCUCUGGGUUUGCUGAAUUUAUGUUGUCUGAUUGUUUGGUUUCGUCUCUACACCAAACUAAUGGCGAAAACCCUAGAAUUGGG